rnacentral:rRNA from 1 species
GCGCGAAACCUUCACACUGCGCGAAAGCGCGAUGAGGGAAUCCCAAGUGCUUGCACGUAAGUGUAAGCUGUUUUUAUGUCUAAAAAGCAUAGAGAGUAAGAGCUGGGUAAGACGGGUGCCAGCCGCCGCGGUAAUACCUGCAGCUCGAGUGGUGGUCGCUAUUAUUGGGCCUAAAACGUUCGUAGCCGGUUUGUUAAAUGCCUAGGUAAAUAGUAUAGCUUAACUAUACGAAUUCUGGGUAGACUGUCAAACUUGAGAUCGGGAGAGGCUAGAGGUACUCCUGGGGUAGAGGUGAAAUUCUGUAAUCCUAGGGGGACCACCAGUGGCGAAGGCGUCUAGCUAGAACGAGUCUGACGGUGAGGGACGAAGCCCUGGGGCGCAAACGGGAUUAGAUACCCCGGUAGUCCAGGGUGUAAACGCUGCUUGCUUGAUGUUAGUCGGGCUCUGAGCCCGAUUAGUGUCGGAGAGAAGUUGUUUAGCAAGCUGCCUGGGAAGUACGGUCGCAAGGCUGAAACUUAAAGGAAUUGGC